rnacentral:lncRNA from 1 species
UGUUGCUUAGACAAGCCACUAAGCCAAUAUGUCUUGCAGUCUCUUGAAGUUAUGGUUGAUCGUACAUGUGCAAGCCCUCGUAGUUUCUACUAUCCAGGGUUCCUCACAAGCUCUUGUGCCAUGAUUCUAAUCUCACAUCCCCAAAAUGCCUUCCAUCAAUAGCCACACUUCUCAAUAAUAUUCAUGGCCUACUCGCACAUUACCACGGUCCUA